GACAGAGCAUGCGUCGUGAGAGGCUCCUGAUGAAAUAAUAAAACCCAAUUUUCAUCUAGAAACAAGAAUCAUUAUAGGAGGAUGGUAAUUUACUUUAUAUGACCUUCAAUUGAUUAUUCUGUGGCUGCCACACAAAUAUCACAGGAGCUAUUGAUCGUAAAACCUACCAAAUAGAUCUCUAAUAGCUUUUACUGGGCAAAAAUAAUUAUGCUUGCACUGUGGUCAAACACACAUAAACCAAUGUGGAGGUAUUAAUAUAUGGCAUUAUUACCCAUCUGUCUGCUAGGCAUGGAGAAGACCCUUCACGGGAACACUCUAUGUCUAAGCUCCAUGAAAGCUCAAUAUCCAAGCCAACAAUUACAGCCAGUUACACAGAAAAAUUGA
rnacentral:lncRNA from 1 species